AUCUCAGCAAUUAUCGAGUUACUAGAACACCGUCGAAUGAUGAUGAGGGAUAUAGAAGAACGUCGCGACGUCACGCACCUGCACAUGCACAUUGUCCGACACGAUUUGACAUGAUGGUGCGUGAUCUGCUUAGAAAGUUCAUUUGAAUGUAAUGUGUUAUGUUUUUGUUUGAGGCUUUGAAAAAUUAGAC